rnacentral:rRNA from 1 species
GACGAACGCUGGCGGCGUGCUUAACACAUGCAAGUCGAACGGAAAGGCCCUGCUUUUGUGUGGUUCUCGAGUGGCGAACGGGUGAGUAACACGUGAGUAACCUGCCCUUGACUUUGGGAUAACUUCUGGAAACUGGGGCUAAUACCGGAUAGGAGCUCCUGCUGCAUGGUGGGGGUUGGAAAGUUUCGGCGGUUGGGGAUGGACUCGCGGCUUAUCAGCUUGUUGGUGGGGUAGUGGCUUACCAAGGCUUUGACGGGUAGCCGGCCUGAGAGCGUGGCCGGGCACAUUGGGACUGAGAUACGGCCCAGAAUGCUACGGGAGGCAGCAGGGGGGAAUAUGGCACAAUGGGGGGAAGCCUGAGGCAGCAACGCCGCGUGCGGGAUGAUGGCUUACGGGUUGUAAACCGCUUUCGCCGGUGACGAAGCGUGCGUGACGGUAAUGGGUAAAGAAGCAACGGCUAACUACGUG